AUGGGGCGCGUGAAGCUGGCCAUCAAGCGGAUCGAGAACAACACGAACCGGCACGUGACCUUCUCCAAGCGCCGGAACGGCCUCAUCAAGAAGGCCUACGAGCUCUCCGUCCUCUGCGACAUCGACAUCGCCCUCCUCAUGUUCUCCCCCUCCCGCCGCCUCUGCCCCUUCUCCGGCCGCCACGGGGUGGAGGAUGUGCUUCUCCGGUACCUCAACAUGUCGGACAACGACCGGGGCGAGCCCAUCCAGAACCGGGAGUACCUAAUCAGCAUGCUCCAGAGGCUCAAGCGCGAGAGCGACAUGGCGACACAGCUAGCAAACCCGGGGGCAUUGAACGAGAAGAUAGAGGAGAUUCAGAAGGAGAUAUACGCGUGCCAGCAGCAGCUGCAGAUCUCCGAGGAACGCCUCAGGUACAAACCAAGACCCGCGCCAUUUAGCACUUUGUUCGUGCGGUCGCGACCUUGA
rnacentral:rRNA from 1 species